ensembl:lncRNA
ACAGAUCGGGGACCCUGCCCCUGGGUGACCCUGAGGGAGAGCAUGUUGCUGUGUUUCCAAGUACUUUCUGUGCACGUCUGCCUCUCCCCAGACACGGGGCACUUCUGCUGCAUUAGAACCCCCCUCCCUUCUCUCUGGCCACAGGUAAAGAAAAGCAGAAAUUAGGGACCCCAGUUACUUUGAGAUCCCCGCUUUGCUGAGAUGUGUGGGCCUGACCUUCCCAGCACGGUGUACUGUCAAGAUUUUCAAGUCCUUUCUCAAGACCAUAUUUCAGCUUCCUCAGAACAUCCUUCCAAGAUUUUCAAGAAGAGACGCUGAGGUCCCAGCAAGCAGGCCACACAAAAGAACAAGUUUCCAAAGUUGAAACAUCUUGUCCUGACACCUGGACAGUCAUGGGAGGAACAGGAAUGGGCAGCCCAGGUCAGAUAGCCAGAGAAACUCACUUGCCCAGAGACAAACAACCAGUGGAUGAAGGCACUACUACAUGAGAAGUCACACUUGACUCCAGA